rnacentral:ncRNA from 1 species
AAUGAGUAUUAAGGCUCAUGGCGGAUAUCGUUAUUUUCUGACCUUCACAGAUGAUUUGAGCAUCAAGGUCGGCCAGUGAGACGAUGGGGGAUAAGCUUCAUUGUCGAGAGGAAAAUAGCUCGGAUCACCAGCUAAGGCCCCUAAAUGACCACUCAGUGAUAAAGGAGGUGGGGUGCAAAGACAGCCCGGAGGUUUGCCUAGAAGCAGCCACCCUUUAAAGAGUGCAUAAUAGCUCACUAUAUCUACUUGAUGAAACAUAAGUCUGAAAUAGUUGAAAGGUUCAAAGAAUUUCAGAGUGAAGUGGAA